GACGAACGCUGGCGGCGUGCUUAACACAUGCAAGUCGUACGGUAAGGCCCUUUCGGGGGUACACGAGUGGCGAACGGGUGAGUAACACGUGAGUAACCUGCCCACAACUUUGGGAUAACGCUAGGAAACUGGUGCUAAUACUGGAUAUGUGCUCCUGCUGCAUGGUGGGGGUUGGAAAGCUCCGGCGGUUGUGGAUGGACUCGCGGCCUAUCAGCUUGUUGGUGGGGUAGUGGCCUACCAAGGCGGCGACGGGUAGCCGGCCUGAGAGGGUGACCGGCCACAUUGGGACUGAGAUACGGCCCAGACUCCUACGGGAGGCAGCAGUGGGGAAUAUUGCACAAUGGGCGCAAGCCUGAUGCAGCAACGCCGCGUGCGGGAUGACAGCCUUCGGGUUGUAAACCGCUUUCAGCAGGGACGAAGCUUUUUGUGACGGUACCUGCAGAAGAAGCACCGGCUAACUACGUG
rnacentral:rRNA from 1 species